CCUCACGGGAGGCUGGAUACAGAACCACGUAGCUAGGCUACUCUGGAAUUACUGACCUACAGAAACUGUGUGAGCUCUGACUGGUGGCCAUCUGGAGCACAGUCGACAUCCUGGAAUCUCCGCACCAUCCGCCGGGGGACUGUCUGCUUGCUUUCUGCAAUGGAUCUCUCCUGUCCUUGGUCCUAUUCCUUCCUCUUUCCUGGUUUAGUGCCUUGUGGAUUCCAUUCUCUGGCAGCUCCUUGAAAAAUCAUGCCUGGCAGAUGUUUUGGGAGCGGGUGCAGAGA